GGGGGCGUUACCGGUGAUCGAUUCUCGGCUAAACUUGGAAGUUGUGCAAGCCGAGGGCUUUAGUAGGUUGGCCUCGUAAAAAAACCUGCUAAAAUUGAUAAAUGCCAACGAAGAAUUGGCUCUUGCUGCUUAAUUAAACAGCGGCAAGCGUUCUUUUCUACUUUUCCGGCAGAGUAGAAAAGGGCGUGUUUAAAAGCCGGAAAACAUUGAAGAGUUUGAACCUUGUAUUCAAUGUUUAAUUUCAAAGGUUCCCGUCGUGGAAACUUAGGUUCGCGGUUCCUUUCUUCUACGACGGUUAAAAUAAAAACCGCUAAGCUUGUAGGACAAUUUCUAAGUUUCCGAGAAGACGAGGGUUCGACUCCCUCCGCCUCCACCA
rnacentral:tmRNA from 1 species